CCCCUGGAGGACUAGUGGUUAGGCCAUGGCACUCUCACUGCAGCAGCUUGGGUUCGAUUCUCGGCCAGGGAA
rnacentral:tRNA from 1 species